AGCCCUGUAGUGAAAUUCAUGGUAAGUUGCAAGCUUAUCGAUGCAUGUUUGCUGCGUGCCGGGGUUU
rnacentral:tRNA from 1 species